AGAGUUGAUCAUGGCUCAGGACGAACGCUGGCGGCGUGCCUAACACAUGCAAGUCGAGCGAGGAGAUCCUUCGGGAUGAUCCUAGCGGCGGACGGGUGAGUAACACGUGGGCAACCUGCCUCAUAGAGAGGAAUAGCCUUCCGAAAGGGAGAUUAAUACCUCAUAACAUUGCAGUUUCGCAUGGAACAGCAAUUAAAGGAGUAAUCCGCUAUGAGAUGGGCCCGCGGCGCAUUAGCUAGUUGGUGAGGUAAUGGCUCACCAAGGCGACGAUGCGUAGCCGACCUGAGAGGGUGAUCGGCCACAUUGGGACUGAGACACGGCCCAGACUCCUACGGGAGGCAGCAGUGGGGAAUAUUGCACAAUGGGGGAAACCCUGAUGCAAGCAACGCCGCGUGAGUGAUGACGGCCUUCGGGUUGUAAAGCUCUGUCUUCAGGGACGAUAAUGACGGUACCUGAGGAGGAAGCCACGGCUAACUACGUGCCAGCAGCCGC
rnacentral:rRNA from 1 species